UGGGGAAUAUUGCACAAUGGGCGCAAGCCUGAUGCAGCCAUGCCGCGUGUGUGAAGAAGGCCUUCGGGUUGUAAAGCACUUUCAGCGGGGAGGAAGGCGUUAAGGUUAAUAACCUUGGCGAUUGACGUUACCCGCAGAAGAAGCACCGGCUAACUCCGUGCCAGCAGCCGCGGUAAUACGGAGGGUGCAAGCAUUAAUCGGAAUUACUGGGCGUAAAGCGCACGCAGGCGGUUUGUUAAGUCAGAUGUGAAAUCCCCGGGCUCAACCUGGGAACUGCAUCUGAUACUGGCAAGCUUGAGUCUCGUAGAGGGGGGUAGAAUUCCAGGUGUAGCGGUGAAAUGCGUAGAGAUCUGGAGGAAUACCGGUGGCGAAGGCGGCCCCCUGGACAAAGACUGACGCUCAGGUGCGAAAGCGUGGGGAGCAAACAGG
rnacentral:rRNA from 1 species